rnacentral:rRNA from 1 species
GACGAACGCUGGCGGCGUGCUUAACACAUGCAAGUCGAACGGAAAGGCCCUGCUUUUGUGGGGUGCUCGAGUGGCGAACGGGUGAGUAACACGUGAGUAACCUGCCCUUGACUUUGGGAUAACUUCAGGAAACUGGGGCUAAUACCGGAUAGGAGCUCCUGCUGCAUGGUUGGGGUUGGAAAGUUUCGGCGGUUGGGGAUGGACUCGCGGCUUAUCAGCUUGUUGGUGGGGUAGUGGCUUACCAAGGCUUUGACGGGUAGCCGGCCUGAGAGGGUGACCGGCCACAUUGGGACUGAGAUACGGCCCAGAGUCCUACGGGAGGCAGCAGUGGGGAAUAUUGCACAAUGGGCGGAAGCCUGAUGCAGCAACGCCGCGUGCGGGAUGACGGCCUUCGGGUUGUAAACCGCUUUCGCCUGUGACGAAGCGUGAGUGACGGUAAUGGGUAAAGAAGCACCGGCUAACUACGUG